rfam:Lupinus angustifolius cultivar Tanjil contig_20948, whole genome shotgun sequence.
GUGCUAUUUUGGUUAUACUUGGUCCCUAUAUUAAUAUCCAUCUUUAACUUUGUCAACUGUGGUUUAUUUUACUCGCAGUUGAUUUUCUAAGUUGGUGCAUUU